rnacentral:lncRNA from 1 species
UGGAAUCCUUCUCACGAGGCCUCAUCUCUCUGACUUUCGUCGGGAAAUGUUCUCUGCUUUUAAAGGAUCAUGUAAUUAUUUUGAGCCUACCCGAUAAUCCAGGAUAAUCCCCUCAUCUAAAAAUCUGUUACCUUAACCACAUCUGCAAAGUCCCUGUUGCCGUGUAAUGUAAGCUAUUCACAGGUUCUGGGGAUUAGGAAAAGGACAUCUUUGGUGGGGGCCUUAUUCAGCCUACCACAUAGAGAUUAGUACCUGAAAAGCCAGCAGGUGAGAAGCUAGACAGAGCAGCCGGUGGCAGCUAAAGGAGAAAGGGGGCGAGAGCUGGAGAAGUCGCACUUCCGCCGAUGGCGCAGCAAAGGGGAUGUUGCCCUGGAGGACUCAGGGAACGGAACUGGGCUAUCAGCCGAGAAUGGGGCUCCACUCAAAAGGAGGAACCAACAGGAGACACAAGGAACCCCAGCAGGAAGAAGUCGGAGAUGGAGGAGGGGAAGUCAUAGCUGGAGGAGACGUGUGUUAGGAAGCUACAAUGGCAGCUCCCUAGUGGAGGUGUUUCGGAAAAACUCCGAAGAUUCCACUUGAGAAAAUCAUCGGCCUUCAGACAACGUCUAUGCCAGAUAAUGCUACCAAAUCACAACCUUGCCUUUCCUCCCUACUGCUGUUCUGAUGUGGGAGGACCCAAAGGCAGCAGAAGAGCCAAAGAAGAGUAGCAGAAAGGCAUAUCCACAGCUCUUCAAAUAAGCAAUGUGAUGUUAGCAAAAGUGCAGGGGCUCCUUGAGAACUUUCCAGGGCUAACCAGCUGCUGAGGAGUGGCCUCCAGGAAAGAGAGAAGCACUCUGAUUCAGGCAGUGAUUUACACCUAAAAUACCAACUCCAUCAUAUCUUCAGAACAAUUCUUCUAGACCUUGCAUCUAAAUAUGGAGUCAUUAACUAACAACGAACAAAACCUCUGGAUGGCCGAAGGACCUAGGCUAUACAGAAAGCUGUGAAUUACCAAUGAGAACGCAGGAUCAGCAUGUGCAAAGAUGAAGAGGCAUAAGGACUGACCAGUGGGUCACGGCAAUGAGACAUUUACUGCUGACCUCCAAGAGAAGACUUCCAUUGAAUGAGAGGAAGAUCUACACUACUAAUGAUCAAACUUACCUGGAGCAGUAUCUGACACAGAUAUGUGUUGAGUGAAUGGAUGAAUAAAUAGAUAGAAGGAAGAUCCUCCAACUAUGAAGUUUCU